CCUACUUUGACAAAAAUAGUCCAUACGAAACUUUACAACACCUUUUUCAGUGAUUCCACUUGGAGAUGCUAGAAGACUCAUAGAUCUAACUCUAGGACUUAACCACACUCAAAAAUUUGAAAUAGAAUGAGAGAUAUGAUCAUUUGAAUUUCAUGUUUCGUUUUCUCAAAAAUUUCAUUUUCUAACAUUUAUGUUUUGUAAGAAAAUUUCCAUGAUAUCUUGAUUAAUCAAACAUUAACAAACAUAAACCUACUUAAUACAUCUUAAUACAUCUUAUACUCAUGGAUCUACCAUUAUCCAUGAUCUAUUUCAUCAAACUCUUACCAUAAACAAACAAAACUUAAUCUAAACCACAAAAGUGAGAUUAUGAUUUAGAAAAAAUUUCAACCGUUGCUAGGAAUGGUUGGAUGAUGGCUACUCCUUCUUGGAUGAGCUUGAAAGCCCUCUUCUCUCUACUCCUCCCUAACCGUGGCCUCCCCCUUCCAUUCCCUCUCAAGCUCUCAAGUUUUCUGUAGGAUUUUUGGGUGAGAGUGAGGGAGAAAACCCAUGGUUUCUUCUUUCUCCUUUUCUUCUCCUCUCUCCUUACUCCUCUAUGGCCGAUCUAUCUCUCUUCUUCUCCUUCAUGGUCGGGUGUGGGUGAGAGAAAUGAAGAAAAAUGCUUCUUUCUCUU
rnacentral:lncRNA from 1 species